GACAGAGGAUGCAAGCGUUAUCCGGAAUGAUUGGGCGUAAAGCGUCUGUAGGUGGCUUUUACAGUCGCCGUCAAAUCCCAGGGCUACCACCGUGACAGGCGGUGGAAACUACCAAGCUGGAGUACGGUAGGGGGCAGAGGGAAUUUCCGGUGGAGCGGUGAAAUGCGUAGAGAUCGGAAAGAACACCAACGGCGAAAGCACUCUGCUGGGCCGACACUGACACUGAGAGACGAAAGCUAGGGGGAGCGAAUGGG
rnacentral:rRNA from 1 species